UAAACGGGAGCACGGGAGCAUCCUGGUGGUUAAUGGCGAACGGGUGAGUAAUAUAUCGGAACGUGCCCAGUCGUGGGGGAUAACGCAGCGAAAGCUGUGCUAAUACCGCAUACGAUCUACGGAUGAAAGCGGGGGAUCGCAAGACCUCGGCGCGAUUGGAGCGGCCGAUAUCAGAUUAGCUAGUUGGUGGGGUAAAGGCCCACCAAGGCGACGAUCUGUAGCUGGUCUGAGAGGACGACCAGCCACACUGGAACUGAGACACGGUCCAGACUCCUACGGGAGGCAGCAGUGGGGAAUUUUGGACAAUGGGCGCAAGCCUGAUCCAGCAAUGCCGCGUGCAGGAUGAAGGCCUUCGGGUUGUAAACUGCUUUUGUACGGAACGAAACGGUGAGCUCUAAUAAAGUUUGCUAAUGACGGUACCGUAAGAAUAAGCACCGGCUAACUACGUGCCAGCAGCCGCGGUAAUACGUAGGGUGCGAGCGUUAAUCGGAAUUACUGGGCGUAAAGCGUGCGCAGGCGGUUAUGUAAGACAGAUGUGAAAUCCCCGGGCUCAACCUGGGACCUGCAUUUGUGACUGCAUAGCUUAGAAGUACGGUAGAGCGGGGAUGGAAAAUUCCGCGUGUAGACAGUGAAAAUGCGUAGAUAUGCGGAGGAACACCGAUUUGCGGAAAGGCAAUUCCCUCUCUGACUUGUUACCUGAAGCUCACUGCAACAAAACUUUGGGGCGACCACACACAGGGCUUUUUAGAUUCCACCUUGGUCCUCACACGCCCUAAAAGAAUGUCAACCCGGUUGGUUGGGGU
rnacentral:rRNA from 1 species